rnacentral:tRNA from 1 species
UUUUAUAUAGUUUAAAUUAAAACCUUACAUUUUCAUUGUAAAAAUAAAAAAAUUUUUUUAUAAAAAAUA